AUGGAAACGGAUUCGAAACACAAUCGCAGCAGCCCCGGAUUCGACAACCACCGAACAACCACUACGAUCUACUCCGUCAGCCACGAUCCCAUCGCACACCGGCCGAAUCCGAAGUCGCUUACCACUGACGAUCACGACACAUCGGUCAGCCUUUUUCCGAAAAAUCUCCGACAAGCACGAUCCGCUCCCAACAAUCUACCACCGUAA